rnacentral:snoRNA from 1 species
CUACAAUGAUGGCAAUAUUUUUCGACAACGCAACUCACCUAGAGAGUGUUGGUGCUUCGGGUCUGAGUGA